UGGCUCAGUCGGUGGAGCGUGAGACUCUUGAUCUCGGGGUUGUGAGUUCAAGCCCCAC
rnacentral:tRNA from 1 species